rnacentral:rRNA from 1 species
GAUGAACGCUGGCGGCGUGCUUAACACAUGCAAGUCGAACGAAGCUACUAUUUACGAUCCCUUCGGGGUGACGAGAUGUAGACUUAGUGGCGGACGGGUGAGUAACGCGUGGGUAACCUGCCGUAUGCAGGGGGACAACAGUUGGAAACGACUGCUAAUACCGCAUAAGCGCACGGUAUCGCAUGGUACAGUGUGAAAAGAUUUAUCGGCAUACGAUGGACCCGCGUCUGAUUAGCUAGUUGGUGAGGUAACGGCCCACCAAGGCGACGAUCAGUAGCCGACCUGAGAGGGUGACCGGCCACAUUGGGACUGAGACACGGCCCAAACUCC